rnacentral:misc_RNA from 1 species
GGUUACGGAGAAGCUCGAAAAUCUAAAAUAAGAUGUGCAUAUUUAUUUCAAAAGUAAUUAGAGACUUGAGAAGUUCAAGAAUAAAUGUACACAUUCCAAAUCUAAGAUAAAAUGUCAUAACUCAUAAAUUAAAUGGCAGCUGUCAACUUCUUAGAAUUUGCAAGAAAUUGACAAAUGCAGCAGUUGAAUUAACAACGACAUAUUAAUUAUGGAAAACUAAACCCCUUUCUGGUUUGGAUUAUGCAUCAUAAAAGCAAUGUCAUUAUUUUAAGCUUAGUUCAGACUCUAGUUUGGCAGUCUAAUCUUUAUAGCAAAAACUCAGCAAUGAAAAGAAACACAGAAGCAUCAAGACUUUCAUAAGAAGCAUUAUAUCACUGGCCUGAAGCAGAAACACAUCAAAAUUAAUUAAGAGAAAGUCCCCGCAAAUCUUGAAAUCAAACAUAUGAUGACGACCAAAUUAUCUGAAAUGGAACAAAACGUGAAAGACCCAGAAGCCAAAAAACAGAACCACCAUCAAAUCAUUAUGGCACAUAACCCAAAAAGGCAGAAACAAAACCACUUUAGAAUCUUCGACACAAACACAAACAGCGAAAAACAAUAAAUUACUUCCCCA